UUUUAUUAUUAGGGAGCUACCAUUUGAUUUUUAUGGGGGGGGCUAGGAUGAAAAAUUUUGUCCUGCAUUUUUUUUUAGCUGUAAUCUCUGUCCUGCCUUUUUAUUUUUCACUCUGUUCGGUCCUGCCUUUUUUGUUUUUAGUUUAUCCUGACUUUUUUUUUUGCAAGUGUCUCAUCCUGCCUUUUUUUUUUACUCAAAACUCAUGUCCUGCCUAUUUUUUUCAAAUUUCAUCCUAGCCCCCCCAUAAAAAUCAAAUG
rnacentral:lncRNA from 1 species